UGGGGAAUUUUGGACAAUGGGCGAAAGCCUGAUCCAGCAAUGCCGCGUGUGUGAAGAAGGCCUUCGGGUUGUAAAGCACUUUUGUCCGGAAAGAAAUCCUCUGGGUUAAUACCUCGGGGGGAUGACGGUACCGGAAGAAUAAGCACCGGCUAACUACGUGCCAGCAGCCGCGGUAAUACGUAGGGUGCAAGCGUUAAUCGGAAUUACUGGGCGUAAAGCGUGCGCAGGCGGUUUUGUAAGACGGAUGUGAAAUCCCCGGGCUUAACCUGGGAACUGCAUUCGUGACUGCAAGGCUAGAGUAUGGCAGAGGGGGGUAGAAUUCCACGUGUAGCAGUGAAAUGCGUAGAGAUGUGGAGGAAUACCGAUGGCGAAGGCAGCCCCCUGGGCCAAUACUGACGCUCAUGCACGAAAGCGUGGGGAGCAAACAGGAUUAGAUACCCUGGUAGUCCACGCCCUAAAACGAUGUCAACUAGUUGUUGGGGAUUCAUUUCCUUAGUAACGUAGCUAACGCGUGAAGUUGACCGCCUGGGGAGUACGGUCGCAAGAUUAAAACUCAAAGGAAUUGACGGGGUCAUAGCUGUUUCC
rnacentral:rRNA from 1 species